AGAGUUUGAUCCUGGCUCAGAUUGAACGCUGGCGGCAUAGCUUUACACAUAGCAAAGUCGAAACGGCAAGCACGGGGGGCUAACCCUGGUGGCGAGUGGCGAACGGGUGAGUAAUGCAUCGGAACGUAUCCUUGGAGUGGGGGAUAACGACAGCGAAAGUUGUGCUAAUACCGCAUAAGCUCUGAGGAGGAAAGCGGGGGACCAAAGGCCUCGCGCUGAAGGAGCGGCCGAUGUCCGAUUAGCUAGUUGGUNAGGUAAAGGCUUACCAAGGCGACGAUCGGUAGCUGGUCUGAGAGGAUGAUCAGCCACACUGGGACUGAGACACGGCCCAG
rnacentral:rRNA from 1 species